GUCGAGAAUCUUUCACAAUGGGGGCAACCCUGAUGGAGCGACGCCGCGUGGAGGAUAAGGUCUUCGGAUUGUAAACUCCUGUCAUGCGUGAACAAGGUUGCUUGGUUAAUACCUGGGCAAAUUGAUGGUAACGCAAGAGGAAGAGACGGCUAACUCUGUGCCAGCAGCCGCGGUAAUACAGAGGUCUCAAGCGUUGUUCGGAAUCACUGGGCGUAAAGGGUGCGUAGGUGGCGUGGUAAGUCAGAUGUGAAAGCCCGGGGCUCAACCUCGGAACUGCAUGCGAUACUGCCAUGCUAGAGUACUGGAGAGGUGACUAGAAUUCUCGGUGUAGCAGUGAAAUGCGUAGAUAUCGAGAGGAAUACCAAAGGCGUAGGCAGGUCACUGGACAGUUACUGACACUGAGGCACGAAGGCCAGGGGGGCGAACGGGAUUAGAAACCCUUGUAGUCC
rnacentral:rRNA from 1 species